rnacentral:rRNA from 1 species
GACGAACGCUGGCGGCGUGCUUAACACGUGCAAGUCGAACGGAAAGGCCCUGCUUUUGUGGGGUGCUCGAGUGGCGAACGGGUGAGUAACACGUGAGUAACCUGCCCUUGACUUUGGGAUAACUUCAGGAAACUGGGGCUAAUACCGGAUAGGAGCUCCUGCUGCAUGGUGGGGGUUGGAAAGUUUCGGCGGUUGGGGACGGACUCGCGGCUUAUCAGCUUGUUGGUGGGGUAGUGGCUUACCAAGGCUUUGACGGGUAGCCGGCCUGAGAGGGUGACCGGCCACAUUGGGACUGAGAUACGGCCCAGACUCCUACGGGAGGCAGCAGUGGGGAAUAUUGCACAAUGGGCGGAAGCCUGAUGCAGCAACGCCGCGUGCGGGAUGACGGCCUUCGGGUUGUAAACCGCUUUCGCCUGUGACGAAGCGUGAGUGACGGUAAUGGGUAAAGAAGCACCGGCUAACUACGUGCCAGCAGCCGCGGUGAUACGUAGGGUGCGAGCGUUGUCCGGAUUUAUUGGGCGUAAAGGGCUCGUAGGUGGUUGAUCGCGUCGGAAGUGUAAUCUUGGGGCUUAACCCUGAGCGUGCUUUCGAUACGGGUUGACUUGAGGAAGGUAGGGGAGAAUGGAAUUCCUGGUGGAGCGGUGGAAUGCGCAGAUAUCAGGAGGAACACCAGUGGCGAAGGCGGUUCCCUGGGCCUUUCCUGACGCUGAGGAGCGAAAGCGUGGGGAGCGAACAGGCUUAGAUACCCUGGUAGUCCACGCUGUAAACGGUGGGUACUAGGUGUGGGGUCCAUUCCACGGGUUCCGUGCCGUAGCUAACGCUUUAAGUACCCCGCCUGGGGAGUACGGCCGCAAGGCUAAAACUCAAAGGAAUUGACGGGGCCCCGCACAAGCGGCGGAGCAUGCGGAUUAAUUCGAUGCAACGCGUAGAACCUUACCUGGGUUUGACAUGGAUCGGGAGUGCUCAGAGAUGGGUGUGCCUCUUUUGGGGUCGGUUCACAGGUGGUGCAUGCCUGUCGUCAGCUCGUGUCGUGAGAUGUUGGGUUAAGUCCCGCAACGAGCGCAACCCUUGUUCACUGUUGCCAGCACGUUAUGGUGGGGACUCAGUGGAGACCGCCGGGGUCAACUCGGAGGAAGGUGGGGAUGACGUCAAGUCAUCAUGCCCCUUAUGUCCAGGGCUUCACGCAUGCUACAAUGGCUGGUACAGAGAGUGGCGAGCCUGUGAGGGUGAGCGAAUCUCGGAAAGCCGGUCUCAGUUCGGAUUGGGGUCUGCAACUCGACCUCAUGAAGUCGGAGUCGCUAGUAAUCGCAGAUCAGCAACGCUGCGGUGAAUACGUUCCCGGGGCU